rnacentral:lncRNA from 1 species
GCAGCUCAAUGCUUUCGGUCAGGCCGCACGGAGGAUCCCACGCAGGAAGGCGGUAUCGCACAUCUGAUGUGACAGUCAGUGAAGAUGGGGUUUCAACGAAAGCCAAAGCCAGGAUUAUGGUAAUGGUCAAGCUCAAAAUCCACUGGCAAAUUCUUGAAUAAUACCAGCGAUACAGCCAUAGGGAUUUGGAGUCCACACGGUGAUUUAUGGAUCGAUAUUGUAUCGCGUCUUCGAUAAACACCACGGCCUGGUUGAUGUGGAGGUCCUCAGCGGCUCCGGCGGCGCCCCUCGCCGCCCGCCAGCUCCGCGGGGGCAGCAGCGGCUCCGUCUCGGCGGCGGCUCCCGCCUCCAUCGGCGCGGCUCGCUGCUGGCCGGCCCGGCCGGGGGCAGCCACCCUGGCACCACGUGACCGGCGCUGCGCCGGGGGAGGCGGAGCGCGAGCACCGGCCGGUACCGCCCCUCAGCAGCCGCGGGGUGGGG